rnacentral:rRNA from 1 species
UACCAGCACCCCGAGUGGUCGGGACGAUUAUUGGGCCUAAAGCAUCCGUAGCCGGUACUGCAAGUCUUCCGUUAAAUCCACCUGCUCAACAGUUGGGCUGCGGAGGAUACUACAGCGCUAGGAGGCGGGAGAGGCAAGCGGUACUCAUUGGGUAGGGGUAAAAUCCAUUGAUUCAUACGGGACCACCAAAGAGGCGAAGGCAGCUAACUAUUCUGCUCCUGACAUUGAGGCAUGAAAGCGUGGGGAGCAAAACGG